GUAAAAUACGCCAUGGAGGCGGAGGGACGGUGGCUAACACUUUCGCCCGCCCCGUGCACGCGAUCGCUGGGGAGCUGGGGUCGCUGCGCUCCCGGCCUGCAGUUACCUGGUCCAGCGGGAUGCCCAGGAGCUCGCUGAGCGGGUGCAGGUGCCCCAGCUUUGUCCCUGAAUAUGUGCUUAAUCUGCCAGCCAGGGAUCCAGAAGCACCAUCUCCCUGUCUGCAUUCUGAUCACCCACCUCACUUCCAGAGCAUGAGAGAACCACGAUGAAGAAAGUCAUGUGCUAAGAAAGGCAGAGAAGAAAAGCUGAAGAAAUCUGGGUGAUUGACAGAAACCAUGAUUAAUGACAUCACGGAGCUACUAGACCAGCCCGGGCCUGCCUGUCUCCAUGCUUCUUGGAACGUGAGAAAAAUAAACUGUAUUUGAUUAUGUUCCUUU
rnacentral:lncRNA from 1 species